rnacentral:rRNA from 1 species
UACGGAGGGGGCAAGCGUUAUUCGGAAUUAUUGGGCGUAAAGGGCGCGUAGGCGGCUAGAUGUGUCAAAGGUGAAAUCCCUCGGCUCAACUGAGGAACUGCCUUUGAAACUGUCUGGCUUGAGGCCGGGAGAGGGUAGCGGAAUUCCCAGUGUAGCGGUGAAAUGCGCAGAUAUCAGGAGGAACACCAAUUGCGAAGGCAGCUCGCUGGGACGUUACUGACGCUGAGACGCGAAAGCGUGGGGAGCAAACAGG